AAAUUGCGAUAACUAGUGUGAAUUGCAUUUUCAGUGAAUCAUCGAGUCUUUGAACGCAUCUUGCGCUCUUGGGAUUCUUCCCUAGAGCACACUUGCUUCAGUAUCAUAACAAAACCCUCACCUAAUAUUUUUUUUUUUUAAAAAAAAAAUAUUAGAGUG
rnacentral:rRNA from 1 species